rnacentral:ncRNA from 1 species
CCCGUUGAACUUAAGCAUAUCACUAGGCGUAGGAAAAGAAACUAAAAAGGAUUCCCCUAGUAACUGCGAGUGAACAUGGAUUAGCUCAGCACCGAAGCCUGUGGUUAUUCAACUGCAAGGCACUGUGGUGUUUAGGUUUGUCCUUGGCAUUACUGCUCUUCCACAAGUCCAGUAAUGAAUACGGCAUACCAUUCUGGCCAAAAGGGGAUGAAAGGCCCGUGAGGGUAGAGACCAAGCAUGACAGUUUUGUCCAGAGCUAACCUUGGAGUAAGGUUGUUUGAGAAUGCGAAGCUGUCAAAUGAACCCUGUUAAAAUUGACACCAACGUCACUGAAACUUCAUAGGUGAAAAC